rnacentral:lncRNA from 1 species
UCAGGUAAGAAUGAUGACCAGGACACCAACAGACCCAAAUUAGAGCUCAACACAUUGAGGGGAAAAGGAAUGGGAAAACAAUUUGGUAAAGACUCAAAAAGGCUAGUCCUGGAUCACAUACAUCAAUUCAUAGUGCUGCUACGACCCAGGACAAACUCACAUACAAAGGGAAUAGGGGAAAGAGAUUAACAUGCUUGAAAGUAAUUAAAUAGUGCAGGAAAGCAUAAAUGAGCACACAAAGAAAGGGGUAGAAGCAGAGAAAUUGAACAAGGCUGCUAUUUAACAUAAAGAACAUACCAGUUAUAAAGUUUA